GAUUUCAUCUGAAAAAAUCAUCAAUAACAAAGUUGUAUAACUCAUCAAAAUCUAUAACUUCUAUUUUGGUCAUUUUUUCAUCCGAGAAAGUGAUUUGUUAGAUUGUUCACAAUAUGUGCAUAUAAGAGAUGCACAUAUUGUGAACAAUCUAACAAAUCAUUUUAUCGGAUGAAGAAAUGCUCAAAAUAGAAGUUAUUGAUCUUGAUGAGUUAUAUCACUUUGUUAUUGAUGAAUUUUUCAGUUGAAAUC
rnacentral:pre_miRNA from 1 species